rnacentral:rRNA from 1 species
AUUGAACGCUGGCGGCAGGCCUAACACAUGCAAGUCGAGCGGAUGAAGGGAGCUUGCUCCUGGAUUCAGCGGCGGACGGGUGAGUAAUGCCUAGGAAUCUGCCUGGUAGUGGGGGAUAACGUCCGGAAACGGGCGCUAAUACCGCAUACGUCCUGAGGGAGAAAGUGGGGGAUCUUCGGACCUCACGCUAUCAGAUGAGCCUAGGUCGGAUUAGCUAGUUGGUGGGGUAAAGGCCUACCAAGGCGACGAUCCGUAACUGGUCUGAGAGGAUGAUCAGUCACACUGGAACUAAGACACGGUCCAGACUCCUACGGGAGGCAGCAGUGGGGAAUAUUGGACAAUGGGCGAAAGCCUGAUCCAGCCAUGCCGCGUGUGUGAAGAAGGUCUUCGGAUUGUAAAGCACUUUAAGUUGGGAGGAAGGGCAGUAAGUUAAUACCUUGCUGUUUUUACGUUACCAACAGAAUAAGCACCGGCUAACUUCGUG